rnacentral:lncRNA from 1 species
CUCCGGAGGGGGCGCGGCUGGGGAAGGGAGGGUGCAGGAGGUGGGGGGUGGAGGGGGGUUGCCUGCAGCUUCCUGUUCUGCUGCCGGUUAUCACAGGCUGUUCUAAUGCUGCUCAAACAAUAUUGAGAAUAACCCCGGCUCAAUAGCACCAGUGUUAGGCUGCAAAGUCAAUAUUGGCUGAGCAAACAGGCACCCCAAGAGAGGGGGCCUCAUUCUCAUCCCCUGCCUUCCUUUCUCACACCUCUGUCCCUUAGACGGGACAGGAGAAGGGGUUCGAGAAUCUUGCUGAAGACAUGGACGUCCCAAACGGUGAUGUCUCACAGGGCCAUGGAAGUCCUUCAGAAUUUCUCAGAUCCACUGCCUGAUUUCUUUAGAAACUUGGCUGGAGACAGUUUGGCCUGUUUCUGACUCCCUGCUGGACCCGCAUGCGUCACCCGCCUGACCCUGCCCAGCUUCACGACCCAGCCUAUGUUCAGCUCUACAGGGAAUUUCCCUUCUCCAGCCCUCAAUCAACCCUUCCUUUUUCGAGUUCAGCUCAGUCGCUCAGUCGUGUCUGACUCUUUGCGACCCCAUGAGU